rnacentral:RNase_P_RNA from 1 species
GGGUCGGCCGGAGUGAUCGCCCGUGUUUGGUCGAAAGACGGAGCACGGGAGGAAAGUCCGGACACCACAAGGCAGCAUGCCACAUGAAAAUGUGGGGGUCGUGGCGCAAGCCGCGGUCACAGACAGUGUCACAGAAAUCAAACCGCCACGGCGCAAGCCGGGGCAAGGGUGAAAAGGCGGGGUAAGAGCCCACCGCUCCGACCGCGAGGAAGGAGGCACGACAAACCUCAUGCGGUGCAAGACAGAACAGGGGAAACGGCCCGCCUGGCCGCAAAUCCGGUCCGCAAGGGCCGGAUGGAUGACUCCGGGUAAUAGUCGCACCACCGUCGCAAGACGGGGGCGGGCCGGCCGCUUCGGCCCGACAGAUAAAUGAUCAUGACCUGCCGCCGCAAGGUGUGCGGGGGACAGAAUCCGGCUUAUGAGGGCCGAUCCACAU